UGGGGAAUAUUGCACAAUGGGCGAAAGCCUGAUGCAGCGACGCCGCGUGCGGGAUGAAGGCCUUCGGGUUGUAAACCGCUUUUAAUUGGGAGCAAGCGAGAGUGAGUGUACCUUUUGAAUAAGCACCGGCUAACUACGUGCCAGCAGCCGCGGUAAUACGUAGGGUGCAAGCGUUAUCCGGAAUUAUUGGGCGUAAAGAGCUCGUAGGCGGUUUGUCACGCCUGGUGUGAAAGUCCAUCGCUUAACGGUGGAUCUGCGCCGGGUACGGGCAGGCUAGAGUGCAGUAGGGGAGAUUGGAAUUCCCGGUGUAACGGUGGAAUGUGUAGAUAUCGGGAAGAACACCAAUGGCGAAGGCAGAUCUCUGGGCUGUUACUGACGCUGAGGAGCGAAAGCAUGG
rnacentral:rRNA from 1 species